rnacentral:rRNA from 1 species
GCACCACAAGAGCGUGGAGUAUGUGGCUUAAUUUGACUCAACGCGGAAAAGCUUAUCUGGUCCGGACACAGUGAGGAUUGACAGACAGUUAGACAGAAGUGAGGUUUUGGUAACAAUUGAGAGAGUUGAAGUUCUUUCAUGAUCUUGUGAGAGGUGGUGCAUGGCCGUUCUUAGUUCGUGUAGUGAUAUGUCUGCCUAAUCGCGUCACGAUAACCUAUUGGUCGACAACCCAAUUAUCACAACUGCAGCAUAACUCCCCUUGGGUGGGCGAGGCUCUGUGUAGGAUAGACCUCUGAACAGUACGCAACGAACGCGAUCGUAAUCCCUUGUUGAGUGGCCAUCCUGUAAGCUGCUGGAUUAGGAACCCAGUGGUAUUAUCUCAGCCACAGAUUUUCUGGUUGUAGUGGGCCAGUUUUGAAACUCGGGGAACAUCUGUGACUUUCUUUCUUAACGCAGAGGAAG